rnacentral:rRNA from 1 species
UUAAGUUAUUAAGGGCGCACGGUGGAUGCCUUGGCACUAGAAGCCGAUGAAGGACGUUACUAACGACGAUAUGCUUUGGGGAGCUGUAAGUAAGCUUUGAUCCAGAGAUUUCCGAAUGGGGAAACCCAGCAUGAGUUAUGUCAUGUUAUCGAUAUGUGAAUACAUAGCAUAUCAGAAGGCACACCCGGAGAACUGAAACAUCUUAGUACCCGGAGGAAGAGAAAGAAAAUUCGAUUCCCUUAGUAGCGGCGAGCGAAACGGGAAGAGCCCAAACCAACAAGCUUGCUUGUUGGGGUUGUAGGACACUCUAUACGGAGUUACAAAGGACGACAUUAGACGAAUCAUCUGGAAAGAUGAAUCAAAGAAGGUAAUAAUCCUGUAGUCGAAAAUGUUGUCUCUCUUGAGUGGAUCCUGAGUACGACGGGGCACGUGAAAUUCCGUCGGAAUCUGGGAGGACCAUCUCCUAAGGCUAAAUACUCUCUAGUGACCGAUAGUGAACCAGUACCGUGAGGGAAAGGUGAAAAGCACCCCGGAAGGGGAGUGAAAUAGAACCUGAAACCGUGUGCUUACAAGUAGUCAGAGCCCGUUAAUGGGUGAUGGCGUGCCUUUUGUAGAAUGAACCGGCGAGUUACGAUUUGAUGCAAGGUUAAGCAGUAAAUGUGGAGCCGUAGCGAAAGCGAGUCUGAAUAGGGCGUUUAGUAUUUGGUCGUAGACCCGAAACCAGGUGAUCUACCCUUGGUCAGGUUGAAGUUCAGGUAACACUGAAUGGAGGACCGAACCGACUUACGUUGAAAAGUGAGCGGAUGAACUGAGGGUAGCGGAGAAAUUCCAAUCGAACCUGGAGAUAGCUGGUUCUCUCCGAAAUAGCUUUAGGGCUAGCCUCAAGUGAUGAUUAUUGGAGGUAGAGCACUGUUUGGACGAGGGGCCCCUCUCGGGUUACCGAAUUCAGACAAACUCCGAAUGCCAAUUAAUUUAACUUGGGAGUCAGAACAUGGGUGAUAAGGUCCGUGUUCGAAAGGGAAACAGCCCAGACCACCAGCUAAGGUCCCAAAAUAUAUGUUAAGUGGAAAAGGAUGUGGCGUUGCCCAGACAACUAGGAUGUUGGCUUAGAAGCAGCCAUCAUUUAAAGAGUGCGUAAUAGCUCACUAGUCGAGUGACACUGCGCCGAAAAUGUACCGGGGCUAAACAUAUUACCGAAGCUGUGGAUUGUCCUUUGGACAAUGGUAGGAGAGCGUUCUAAGGGCGUUGAAGCAUGAUCGUAAGGACAUGUGGAGCGCUUAGAAGUGAGAAUGCCGGUGUGAGUAGCGAAAGACGGGUGAGAAUCCCGUCCACCGAUUGACUAAGGUUUCCAGAGGAAGGCUCGUCCGCUCUGGGUUAGUCGGGUCCUAAGCUGAGGCCGACAGGCGUAGGCGAUGGAUAACAGGUUGAUAUUCCUGUACCACCUAUAAUCGUUUUAAUCGAUGGGGGGACGCAGUAGGAUAGGCGAAGCGUGCGAUUGGAUUGCACGUCUAAGCAGUAAGGCUGAGUAUUAGGCAAAUCCGGUACUCGUUAAGGCUGAGCUGUGAUGGGGAGAAGACAUUGUGUCUUCGAGUCGUUGAUUUCACACUGCCGAGAAAAGCCUCUAGAUAGAAAAUAGGUGCCCGUACCGCAAACCGACACAGGUAGUCAAGAUGAGAAUUCUAAGGUGAGCGAGCGAACUCUCGUUAAGGAACUCGGCAAAAUGACCCCGUAACUUCGGGAGAAGGGGUGCUCUUUAGGGUUAACGCCCAGAAGAGCCGCAGUGAAUAGGCCCAAGCGACUGUUUAUCAAAAACACAGGUCUCUGCUAAACCGUAAGGUGAUGUAUAGGGGCUGACGCCUGCCCGGUGCUGGAAGGUUAAGAGGAGUGGUUAGCUUCUGCGAAGCUACGAAUCGAAGCCCCAGUAAACGGCGGCCGUAACUAUAACGGUCCUAAGGUAGCGAAAUUCCUUGUCGGGUAAGUUCCGACCCGCACGAAAGGCGUAACGAUUUGGGCACUGUCUCAACGAGAGACUCGGUGAAAUCAUAGUACCUGUGAAGAUGCAGGUUACCCGCGACAGGACGGAAAGACCCCGUGGAGCUUUACUGUAGCCUGAUAUUGAAAUUCGGCACAGCUUGUACAGGAUAGGUAGGAGCCUUUGAAACGUGAGCGCUAGCUUACGUGGAGGCGCUGGUGGGAUACUACCCUAGCUGUGUUGGCUUUCUAACCCGCACCACUUAUCGUGGUGGGAGACAGUGUCAGGCGGGCAGUUUGACUGGGGCGGUCGCCUCCUAAAAGGUAACGGAGGCGCUCAAAGGUUCCCUCAGAAUGGUUGGAAAUCAUUCAUAGAGUGUAAAGGCAUAAGGGAGCUUGACUGCGAGACCUACAAGUCGAGCAGGGUCGAAAGACGGACUUAGUGAUCCGGUGGUUCCGCAUGGAAGGGCCAUCGCUCAACGGAUAAAAGCUACCCCGGGGAUAACAGGCUUAUCUCCCCCAAGAGUUCACAUCGACGGGGAGGUUUGGCACCUCGAUGUCGGCUCAUCGCAUCCUGGGGCUGUAGUCGGUCCCAAGGGUUGGGCUGUUCGCCCAUUAAAGCGGUACGCGAGCUGGGUUCAGAACGUCGUGAGACAGUUCGGUCCCUAUCCGUCGUGGGCGUAGGAAAUUUGAGAGGAGCUGUCCUUAGUACGAGAGGACCGGGAUGGACAUACCUCUGGUGUACCAGUUGUCGUGCCAACGGCAUAGCUGGGUAGCUAUGUGUGGACGGGAUAAGUGCUGAAAGCAUCUAAGCAUGAAGCCCCCCUCAAGAUGAGAUUUCCCAACUUCGGUUAUAAGAUCCCUCAAAGAUGAUGAGGUUAAUAGGUUCGAGGUGGAAGCAUGGUGACAUGUGGAGCUGACGAAUACUAAUCGAUCGAAGACUUAAUCAA